rnacentral:rRNA from 1 species
UACGUAGGGUGCGAGCGUUGUCCGGAAUUAUUGGGCGUAAAGGGCUCGUAGGCGGUCUGUUGCGUCGGGAGUGAAAACUCAGGGCUUAACCCUGAGCUGCUCCGAAGUACGGCAGACUAGAGGUAUGCAGGGGAGAACGGAAUUCCCGGUGUAGCAGUGAAAUGCGUAGAGAUCGGGAGGAACAUCAGUUGCGAAGGCGGCUCUCUGGACCAGCACUGACACUGAGGCACGAAAGCGUGGGAGCAAACAGGG